ensembl:lncRNA
GCGCAAGAAACGACCAAUGAGAGCGCGGCAUGCAAAUUAGGAAUUCGCUCGGGCAGAGAUCUGAAUGUCAACUAGUCAAAGAUGGAGUCUUAACGUUUUUUGGGAAAGGCCGCGAAGCGCGCGCGCAGGACCAGAGAGCGCGCGCGGGGCAGAUAUAUAUAUUUUUUUACUACGUUUGUGUUUUGUUUUGUUUUUUAUUUAAACUUGUUUUCCGAACUGGACCCGUGUGGAGAAGAUAUUUGAAUGAUAAUAUGGAAAGGCUGGUUUUUAUUUAUAUAACAUAUAUGCGGUGGAGAAAAGAGGAACAAACAGGCCUAGAAGACGCUCGAGGGUUUUUUUUAACACCUUCUGGUCAACUUUUCUUCUUCUUCUUCUUCUCUUGGUUUUUCUUCUUCUUCUUCUUCUUCUUCGCUGUCUCCCGUUGACAGGGAGGCCGUGUCCUAAAUCACACCCUUAUCCAAGCGCAGUGUUGGGUGUACAUUGUGAAGCUACUAGUUUAGUCCGGGUUAGUACGCGGUUUCGGAGGCGCUCACGGGUUUGUUUCGGUGGCGUUUCUGUUAGUACGCUUUCGGACGGAGCCGCGGUCGUGUCCCUCCCUAGUUAGGCAGCCUAUCAUUCAUGACAGUGUUUUAGGAGGGUGUGGGAGGGAGGGAGAAUUCACUUGGCCCUGUGUGCGCGAGCACGGUACACGUUUUUUGGAGCGGGAAUGGCGGGACCAUGCUGCUAAAACACACUCGGUACGAAUCCCCCCCAAAAAUAUGCUCGAAAAACAUGUCACUUAGACGUGCAUGGAGUUUUUCUUUCAACAAAACCUAGACGCUUUUAUUUGGUGCGUAUUGCAUGGGUUUUUUUUGUUUUGUUUUGUUUUUGGUUUUUUUUCAAUAUUUUAAUAAUAAUAAUAAUAUACAAGGGGACGAAAAAUCGUUGUAUUUGUAGAUGUGUUGUGAUCAGAGUUGCUCAGGAAUGUAAACCGCUGUGAGUCCAUUGGCUCGCGACAGCACGGAGUUACAGGAUUGGCUGGAGAAACGGCGGGGGCCCCGAAGCACGAGCCCUGUCUUCGUCCGUUGCCCUUUUUCUGUUGUACUACUGUGAGCGUCCAGAAGAGCAGUGCAAUAUUAAAAGGGCAUUGGCUGGAAGAUCAGAGACCUCCAAAUCCUCCAUAUUGCCGUGACCUUUCACCUCUGUGUGCUUUGACACGGUCGAGCACGUGGAAGUACAGUGAGGGACUGGAGGAGGAGUGUGGGGGGGG